rnacentral:miRNA from 1 species
AACUUAGCUUUUGCGAGUCAC